AGUUGUGGCGCAGUGGGAGCGCGCCGGGCUCAUACAGCAAUGUAGUAACCCGGAGGGCAACGGAUCGAAACCGUUCAAAGCUA